CCCAAGUCCUUUUUGGCAGGGCUGUGCUCCAUCCUUACAUCCUGUAGCUUGUACUGACAGUGGGAAUUGCCUCAAUUUGAAUUUGGAUUUGUUGAACCUCAUGAAGUUCACCUGAGCCCAGUGCUCAAACCUAUCUAGGUUGCUCUGGAUGGCAUCCCAUCACUCAGGUAUGUUGACCACACGAGGUAGCUUGGUGUCAUCAGCAAACUCGUUGAGUGUGCACUCAAUCCCACUGUUGAUGUCAUUGAUGAAGAUGUUAAAAAGCAGUGAUCUCAGUACUGACCCCUGUGAGGGACCACUCAUCACCAAUUUCCGUCUGGACAUUGACACAUAGAUAUAUGACCACUCUCUGGGUGCAAUUUUGCAACAAGUUUCUCUUCCACUGAUCAGUCAAAUCCAUAUCUUUUCAAUCUGGGGGGAAGGACACUGUGGGGACUGUGUCAAGGAAUACAGAUAAAUGACAUCAGUGGCUCUUCCCCUGUCCACUGAAGCAGUUAUGAUGUCAUAAAAAGCAACAAAAACUAACAAAGGUUAGGCAGGACCUUCGCUUGAUGAAGUCAUGCAGGUUAAGCUAACCAGGGGGAAACAUUCUUCCUUUCAACAGAAGUGGAACUCCCAAGCAGCUUCUCUAGCUGAUUAGAACCCAGAAAUAAGGAGCAAUUUCCUGGUGUUGCAAUGGGAUACAGGCUGUGAGUGGUAUCCCAGGCCCUGGGACACUUGUAAGCGAAAGAAACAGCUACUUGUCAUUUCUGACAAAUGAGAUCUAUCCCUGCAUGUCUUGGAACCUACAUUUAUUACCAGGCAGCUCAGCAUGGUCAGUGUGAGAAGCUCAUGACUCACUGCUAUCAGCUAGUUGAAAAACUUUAGAUACACUGAGUAAAGGGAAAUAUUUUAACAGGGUAAUCCACAGCAACAGCAGGUCCACAUCAUUCCUCCUGCUGGGAAGGAAAUGGAACACGUGGCCUGUAAGUGCACCAGGUAUUUGUGGAGAGCGGAGAAGUGAGGAGGUAUGAAAAAGAAGAGGCUUAGACCAUGAAGAGAAAGUUGUUCUAGGACAAAAGUAAGGAGAAUUUGGAGUUGGAGUGUAGAACUAUGAGGAUUUUUUUAAUGCAACAAGAGAUCAACAAAAAAGGCAUUGUAGGAGAAAGCUUACAAAAGAGGAUGGGAUUUCUGUGUGCUGUUCAAGCCUCUGACAGUGUUAACUCCCUCAACAGCUGAUUUCAACUCAAACAUGCUGGAAGGGAGCAUGUUCUAUUUUGUCUCCAGCUUCCUAAAUAGCAGAUUACUUGAACAACUCCACCAACUCAGAUGAGUAUAUAAUAUAUAAAUUUGUAUUGAGGAUUUACAGGGUGUCUAACAGUAUCCAAGCUGAAUAUCUAUCCAGCGGAAACAUGAACAUCUCAUGAGUUUUAGCCCUGUUUUGCUCAGCAUAGUGCCUUUUUUUUCUCUUUUUUCGUUUUGUUACAAAAGCUGUAGGUCUGUCUUCCAUUAGUAAUCACCUCGUGGGAGGGAGGCUACUUCACAAGAGACUACUGUCCUCUGCUGUAAUGCACUAGUCCAAGGUCUUCUUGCUCCACUAAAUUAGUGUUAUCCACUAUCACAGUAGAUUUUUUUAUUCACUUUUUCAUAUAAAAGCCCCAGCAUUUAGCAUUACUACCUGAAAUAAUCUGCCAGUAUGGGCUGAAGUGUAUUCUGCAGAUGAUAGUCCUGUUCAGAGGCUAUUGCUCUGAAAUCAAACAGCAUCAAAUAAAGUUCUAGAUUUAAUUCCUCAUCUAUUUCAAGCACCUUUUCAACAGUAUUUUUCCUUCCUUCCUUUCUUCCUUCCUUCCUUCCUUCCUUCCUUCCU